UCUCAUUCUGACGGCACCCAUUCACUGCAGAGGAUCCACUGACUUCACACCUGCUUACCAAGCAUUGGAGAAGAUGCCGUAUAUCACCCCAAUGCGUUGAUGAGAGGCCAGAACGAAAGCCUGCUUGAAGUUGUUGUACUGUACAGGAGUUCCAGCUUUCCCACACAUCACACGAGCCUUCAGGAACGUAGUCCAGGA